rnacentral:rRNA from 1 species
GACGAACGCUGGCGGCGUGCCUAAUACAUGCAAGUAGAACGCACAGUUUAUACCGUAGCUUGCUACACCAUAGACUGUGAGUUGCGAACGGGUGAGUAACGCGUAGGUAACCUGCCUGGUAGCGGGGGAUAACUAUUGGAAACGAUAGCUAAUACCGCAUAAUAUUAAUUAUUGCAUGAUAAUUAAUUGAAAGGUGCAAUUGCACCACUACCAGAUGGACCUGCGUUGUAUUAGCUAGUAGGUGAGGUAACGGCUCACCUAGGCGACGAUACAUAGCCGACCUGAGAGGGUGAUCGGCCACACUGGGAAGGAGACACGGCCCAGCCUCCUACGGGAGGCAGCAGUAGGGAAUCUUCGGCAAUGGACGAAAGUCUGACCGAGCAACGCCGCGUGAGUGAAGAAGGUUUUCGGAUCGUAAAGCUCUGUUGUAAGAGAAGAACGGGUGUGAGAGUGGAAAGUUCACACUGUGACGGUAUCUUACCAGAAAGGGGCGGCUAACUACGUG